AACCACCUGAGUUACGUAUGAUUACCUGCUGAACUUAAGCAUAUCAGUAAGCAGAGGAAAAGAAACAAACNUGGAUUCCCUUAGUAACGG
rnacentral:rRNA from 1 species